rnacentral:tRNA from 1 species
GCCCCCAUCGUCUAGAGGCCCAGGAUAUCAGGUUCUCAUCCUGAAGACAGGGGUUCGAAUCCCCUUGGGGGUA